rnacentral:rRNA from 1 species
GAUGAACGCUAGCUACAGGCUUAACACAUGCAAGUCGCGGGGCAGCAUGGGGGUUGCUUGCAACUCCCGAUGGCGACCGGCGCACGGGUGAGUAACGCGUAUCCAACCUGCCCUUCACCACGGGAUAACCCGGCGAAAGUCGGACUAAUACCGUAUGUUGUCCAUUGACGGCAUCCGAUUUGGACGAAAGGCUUUGCGGUGAAGGAUGGGGAUGCGUCCGAUUAGCCAGACGGCGGGGUAACGGCCCACCGUGGCUACGAUCGGUAGGGGUUCUGAGAGGAAGGUCCCCCACACUGGAACUGAGACACGGUCCAGACUCCUACGGGAGGCAGCAGUGAGGAAUAUUGGUCAAUGGGCGUAAGCCUGAACCAGCCAAGUAGCGUGCAGGAUGACGGCCCUAUGGGUUGUAAACUGCUUUUAUGCGGGGAUAAAGUGGCCCACGUGUGGGCUUUUGCAGGUACCGCAUGAAUAAGGACCGGCCAAUUCCGUG